GGAUCAUGGCUGCCGGACUACACAUGCAAGUCGAGCGGUAGCACAGAGAGCUUGCUCUCGGGUGACGAGCGGCGGACGGGUGAGUAAUGUCUGGGAAACUGCCUGAUGGAGGGGGAUAACUACUGGAAACGGUAGCUAAUACCGCAUAAUGUCGCAAGACCAAAGAGGGGGACCUUCGGGCCUCUUGCCAUCAGAUGUGCCCAGAUGGGAUUAGCUAGUAGGUGGGGUAACGGCUCACCUAGGCGACGAUCCCUAGCUGGUCUGAGAGGAUGACCAGCCACACUGGAACUGAGACACGGUCCAGACUCCUACGGGAGGCAGCAGUGGGGAAUAUUGCACAAUGGGCGCAAGCCUGAUGCAGCCAUGCCGCGUGUAUGAAGAAGGCCUUCGGGUUGUAAAGUACUUUCAGCGGGGAGGAAGGUGUUGAGGUUAAUAACCUCAGCAAUUGACGUUACCCGCAGAAGAAGCACCGGCUAACUCCGUGCCAGCAGCCGCGGUAAUACGGAGGGUGCAAGCGUUAAUCGGAAUUACUGGGCGUAAAGCGCACGCAGGCGGUCUGUCAAGUCGGAUGUGAAAUCCCCGGGCUCAACCUGGGAACUGCAUUCGAAACUGGCAGGCUAGAGUCUUGUAGAGGGGGGUAGAAUUCCAGGUGUAGCGGUGAAAUGCGUAGAGAUCUGGAGGAAUACCGGUGGCGAAGGCGGCCCCCUGGACAAAGACUGACGCUCAGGUGCGAAAGCGUGGGGAGCAAACAGGAUUAGAUACCCUGGUAGUCCACGCCGUAAACGAUGUCGACUUGGAGGUUGUGCCCUUGAGGAGUGGCUUCCGGAGCUAACGCGUUAAGUCGACCGCCUGGGGAGUACGGCCGCAAGGUUAAAACUCAAAUGAAUUGACGGGGGGCCCGCACAAGCGGUGGAGCAUGUGGUUUAAUUCGAUGCAACGGCGAAGAACCUUACCUACUCUUGACAUCCAGAGAACUUUCCAGAGAUGGAUUGGUGCCUUCGGGAACUCUGAGACAGGUGCUGCAUGGCUGUCGUCAGCUCGUGUUGUGAAAUGUUGGGUUAAGUCCCGCAACGAGCGCAACCCUUAUCCUUUGUUGCCAGCGGUCCGGCCGGGAACUCAAAGGAGACUGCCAGUGAUAAACUGGAGGAAGGUGGGGAUGACGUCAAGUCAUCAUGGCCCUUACGAGUAGGGCUACACACGUGCUACAAUGGCGCAUACAAAGAGAAGCGACCUCGCGAGAGCAAGCGGACCUCAUAAAGUGCGUCGUAGUCCGGAUUGGAGUCUGCAACUCGACUCCAUGAAGUCGGAAUCGCUAGUAAUCGUAGAUCAGAAUGCUACGGUGAAUACGUUCCCGGGCCUUGUACACACCGCCCGUCACACCAUGGGAGUGGGUUGCAAAAGAAGUAGGUAGCUUAACCUUCGGGAGGGCGCUACCACUUUGAUACGUGG
rnacentral:rRNA from 1 species